rnacentral:rRNA from 1 species
AACGAACGCUGGCGGCGCGCCUAAUACAUGCAAGUCGAGCGAGAAGACGUAGCAAUACGUUUGUAAAGCGGCGAACGGGUGAGGAAUACAUGGGUAACCUACCCUCGAGUGGGGAAUAACUAGCCGAAAGGUUAGCUAAUACCGCGUACGCUCCUUGGACUUCGGUUCAGGGAGGAAAGCGAUACCGUGGGUAUCGCGCUCUUGGAUGGGCUCAUGUCCUAUCAGCUUGUUGGUGAGGUAACGGCUCACCAAGGCUUCGACGGGUAGCUGGUCUGAGAGGACGAUCAGCCACACUGGCACUGCGACACGGGCCAGACUCCUACGGGAGGCAGCAGUAAGGAAUAUUGCGCAAUGGGCGAAAGCCUGACGCAGCGACGCCGCGGUGGGGGAGU